UACGUAGGGGGCAAGCGUUGUCCGGAUUUAUUGGGCGUAAAGAGCGUGUAGGCGGCCAGAUAGGUCCGUUGUGAAACUCGAGGCUCAACCUCGAGACGCCGAUGGAAACCAUCUGGCUAGAGUCCGGAAGAGGAGAGUGGAAUUCCUGGUGUAGCGGUGGAAUGCGCAGAUAUCAGGAGGAACACCAAUAGCGAAGGCAGCUCGCUGGGACGUGACUGACGCUGAGACGCGAAAGCGUGGGGAGCAAACAGG
rnacentral:rRNA from 1 species